rnacentral:rRNA from 1 species
UACGUAGGGUGCGAGCGUUAAUCGGAAUUACUGGGCGUAAAGCGUGCGCAGGCGGUUUUGUAAGCCAGAUGUGAAAGCCCCGGGCUUAACCUGGGAAUGGCAUUUGGGACUGCAAGGCUUGAGUGCGGCAGAGGAGACUGGAAUUCCUGGUGUAGCAGUGAAAUGCGUAGAUAUCGUAAGGAACGCCAGUGGCGAAAGCGAAUCUCUGGGCAGCAACUGACGCUGAGGCACGAAGGCCAGGGGAGCAAACGGG